rnacentral:rRNA from 1 species
GACGUAGGGCGCAAGCGUUGUCCGGAUUUAUUGGGCGUAAAGAGCUCGUAGGCGGCCUGUCGCGUCGACCGUGAAAACCCGCAGCUCAACUGCGGGCUUGCGGUCGAUACGGGCAGGCUGGAGUUCGGUAGGGGAGACUGGAAUUCCUGGUGUAGCGGUGAAAUGCGUAGAUAUCGCGUGGAACGCCGAAGGUGAAAACAGGCUGCUGGGGUUGCGCCGACGCUGAGACACGAAAGCCAGGGGAGCAAACGGG